GGGUUAGUGGUCUAGUGGUAUGAUUCUCGCUUAGGGUGCGAGAGGUCCGGGGUUCCAUUCCCCGCUAACCCC
rnacentral:tRNA from 1 species